AGUGAACGCUGGCGGUAGGCCUAACGCAUGCAAGUCGAACGGCAGCACAGUAAGAGCUUGCUCUUACGGGUGGCGAGUGGCGGACGGGUGAGGAAUACAUCGGAAUCUACUUUUUCGUGGGGGAUAACGUAGGGAAACUUACGCUAAUACCGCAUACGACCUACGGGUGAAAGCAGGGGAUCUUCGGACCUUGCGCGAUUGAAUGAGCCGAUGUCGGAUUAGCUAGUUGGCGGGGUAAAGGCCCACCAAGGCGACGAUCCGUAGCUGGUCUGAGAGGAUGAUCGGCCACACUGGAACUGAGACACGGUCCAGACUCCUACGGGAGGCAGCAGUGGGGAAUAUUGGACAAUGGGCGCAAGCCUGAUCCAGCCAUACCGCGUGGGUGAAGAAGGCCUUCGGGUGGUAAAGCCCUUUUGUUGGGAAAGAAAAGCAGCAGGUUAAUACCCCGCUGUUCUGACGGUACCCAAAGAAUAAGCACCGGCUAACUUCGU
rnacentral:rRNA from 1 species